UACGAGAGGUGCACGCGUUAUUCGGAAUUAUUGGGCGUAAAGGGCGCGUAGGCGGGUCAUUAAGUUUGUUGUUAAAUCCUCUGGCUUAACCAGAGACAAGCAAUAAAAACUGGUAACCUAGAGCGUGAGAGAGAGAAGUGGAAUUCCCGGAGUAGCGGUAAAAUGCGUAGAUCUCGGGAGGAACACCAAUGGCGAAGGCUGCUUCUUGGCUCAUUGCUGACGCUGAGGCGCGAAAGCGUGGGGAGCAAACAGG
rnacentral:rRNA from 1 species